rnacentral:rRNA from 1 species
UACGUAGGGUGCAGGCGUUAAUCGGAAUUACCGGGCGUAAAGCGUGCGCAGGCGGUUUGCUAAGACAGGUGUGAAAUCCCCGGGCUUAACCUGGGAACUGCGCUUGUAACUGGCAAGCUGGAGUGUGGCAGAGGGGGGUGGAACUCCACGUGUAGCAGUGAAAUGCGUAGAGAUGUGGAGGAACACCGAUGGCGAAGGCAGCCCCCUGGGCUAACACUGACGCUCAUGCACGAAAGCGUGGGGAGCAAACAGG